CUCCUCCUCCUCCUCCUCUUCCUCUUCCUAUUUCUCUUACACUCCCUUCCUUGACCACGGGCGCAGGACAUCGCGGCUAAGUUCCCUCGCUCCUGCAGGAGAGCCCCGCCCUUCAGAAGAAUGCGAGGAGGCGGCGCCGGCAGGUUUCAGCAGCCAGAGAACACGACGUGAAAAGUAUGACGCACUCUGCCUGACAAAGCAAUUGGAGCAGCCGAAAGGUUAUCAUACAGGGCCAUAGGUAAUCACUUUCCCUUGAUUGUGGCAGACAGGGGCGGUAAUUAAUUAAUUCUUAUCGCCUGCUAUGCUUCUCGUGGGCUCUGAAGAACUGACCAUGGUGGGGAUCCUUGAGCCAGGAACCCUAAGCUCGUGGGAGCCUCUGGGGGAGCGUGUCAUGUUCUACUGGUGUCUGCUGGUGCUGUCGGCUCAACUGCAUGCCAUUUUCUUCGUCCUUACACAGUCAGUGAGCGUCGAGACACUGCUAUGAUGGAGAAUCGCGUUUCCUCUCCCUUGUCUUUCAUAAUUUAUAUAUAUUCCUCAAAUAAGUACUUUUUGCCUACUGAAUUUUGUGUAUAUUACUUUAAUUGACAUGUAUGAAUAAAAUCAAUGACGAUU